UCACUUUCAACAACGGAUCUCUUGGCUCUCGCAUCGAUGAAGAACGUAGCGAAGUGCGAUAAGUAAUGUGAAUUGCAGAAUUUCCGUGAGUCAUCGAAUCUUUGAACGCAAAUUGCACUUCCCGGUAUUCCGGGAAGUAUGCCUGUUUGAGGGUCCAGU
rnacentral:rRNA from 1 species